CCUCUCUCAGUGGGAGACUCAAUCAGGCAGACAUUUCCAGACAAGCAGGUCCCAGGGUUCGGAAAAGCCAGCUGGGAAAUAGCCGAGGAGCUGGUGCUGAAAAAACUGAAUUUGCGGCUUUUUAAGUAGAACCUAAACUUGGCAGCAAUCAAGCAGCAGGACAGCAUCGCGUCAUCACAGCGCCGGGUCAAGCCAUCGGAGACGAUGCCUGCACACUCCUCCCAGCCGAGAGCAGCAGAGGCAUCUCUGUUCAAUGGCGUGCCUCAUCAGAAAGGAACCAGAUUACACACAACCAGUUUCCACUGAUGGGUGGCACAGGGAAUUGUGCAAGAGGACGAAGCAAUUACUCUAAGCUCCAUUUGUCAGUUUUAGACCAAAUAAAUGCUUUAUCAAUCCUCAA